rnacentral:rRNA from 1 species
AACGAACGCUGGCGGCAUGCCUAACACAUGCAAGUCGAACGAGACCUUCGGGUCUAGUGGCGCACGGGUGCGUAACGCGUGGGAACCUGCCCUUAGGUUCGGAAUAACUCCCCGAAAGGGGUGCUAAUACCGGAUAAUGUCUUCGGACCAAAGAUUUAUCGCCUUUGGAUGGGCCCGCGUUGGAUUAGCUAGUUGGUAGGGUAAAAGCCUACCAAGGCGACGAUCCAUAGCUGGUCUGAGAGGAUGAUCAGCCACACUGGGACUGAGACACGGCCCAGACUCCUACGGAGGCAGCAGUGGGGAAUAUUGGACAAUGGGCGAAAGCCUGAUCCAGCAAUGCCGCGUGAGUGAUGAAGGCCUUAGGGUUGUAAAGCUCUUUUACCCGGGAUGAUAAUGACAGUACCGGGAGAAUAAGCUCCGGCUAACUCCGU